rnacentral:rRNA from 1 species
AUACGUAGGGUGCGAGCGUUGUCCGGAAUUACUGGGCGUAAAGAGCUCGUAGGUGGUUUGUCGCGUCGUCUGUGAAAUUCCGGGGCUUAACUCCGGGCGUGCAGGCGAUACGGGCAUAACUUGAGUACUGUAGGGGAGACUGGAAUUCCUGGUGUAGCGGUGAAAUGCGCAGAUAUCAGGAGGAACACCUGUGGCGAAGGGGGGUCUCUGGGCAGUAACUGACGCUGAGGAGCGAAAGCAUGGGUAGCGAACAGGAUUAGAUACCCUGGUAGUCCAUGCCGUAAACGGUGGGCGCUAGGUGUAGGGGUCUUCCACGACUUCUGUGCCGUAGCUAACGCAUUAAGCGCCCCGCCUGGGGAGUACGGCCGCAAGGCUAAAACUCAAAGGAAUUGACGGGG